rnacentral:rRNA from 1 species
GUGGGGAAUAUUCCGCAAUGGACGAAAGUCUGACGGAGCAACGCCGCGUGAGUGAUGAAGGUUUUCGGACUGUAAAGCUCUGUUGUUUAGGACGAAAGUGCCUGUUGCAAAUAGUUACAGGUAUUGACGGUACUGAACGAGGAAGCCACGGCUAACUACGUGCCAGCAGCCGCGGUAAUACGUAGGUGGCAAGCGUUGUCCGGAAUUAUUGGGCGUAAAGAGCAUGUAGGCGGGAAUCUAAGUCUGUUGUGAAAAUGCGGGGCUCAACCCCGUAUUGCGAUGGAAACUGGGUUUCUUGAGUGCAGGAGAGGAAAGGGUAAGUCCCAGUGUAGCGGUGAAAUGCGUAGAUAUUGGGAGGAACACCAGUGGCGAAGGCGCCUUUCUGGACUGUGUCUGACGCUGAGAUGCGAAAGCCAGGGUAGCGAACGAGAUUAGAAACCCCUGUAGUCC